rnacentral:rRNA from 1 species
AGAUUGAACGCUGGCGGCAUGCUUUACACAUGCAAGUCGAACGGUAACAGGCCGCAAGGUGCUGACGAGUGGCGAACGGGGUGAGUAAUGCAUCGGAACGUGCCCAGUCGUGGGGGGAUAACGCAGCGAAAGCUGUGCUAAUACCGCAUACGAUCUAUGGAUGAAAGCGGGGGACCGAAAGGCCUCGCGCGAGUUGGAGCGGCCGAUGGUCAGAUUUAGCUAGUUGGUGGGGUUAAAGGCCCACCGAAGGCGACGAUCUGUAGCUGGUCUGAGAGGACGACCAGCCACACUGGAACUGAGACGACGGUCCAGGACCUCCGUACGGGAGCAGCGAGUGGGGAAUUUGGACAAGUGGGCGACAAGGCCUGACUCCAGCAAUCGACCGCGUGCCGAAGGAACGAACGGCCGUUUACGGGUU